rnacentral:rRNA from 1 species
GUCCACGCCCUAAACGAUGGGAACUAAGUGUCGGCGGGUUACCGCCGGUGCCGCACCUAACGGAGUAAGUUCCCCGCCUGGGGAGUACGGCCGCAAGGUUGAAACUCAAAGGAAUUGACGGGGGCCCGCACAAGCGGUGGUGCAUGUGGUUUAAUUCGACGCAACGCGAAGAACCUUACCCAGGUUUGACAUGCUGGUGUUAAGAACCGGAAACGGUAAUGAGCCCGCAAGGGCAGCCAGCACAGGUGCUGCAUGGCUGUCGU